rnacentral:misc_RNA from 1 species
GAUGAAGAACGUAGCGAAAUGCGAUAAGUAAUGUGAAUUGCAGAAUUCAGUGAAUCAUCGAAUCUUUGAACGCACAUUGCGCCCCCUGGUAUUCCGGGGGGCAUGCCUGUCCGAGCGUCAUUACAACCCUCAAGCUCAGCUUGGUGUUGGGCCCCGCCGCCCCGGCGGGCCCUAAAGUCAGUGGCGGUGCCGUCCGGCUCCGAGCGUAGUAAUUCUUCUCGCUCUGGAGGUCCGGUCGUGUGCUCGCCAGCAACCCCCAAUUUUUUUCAGGUUGACCUCGGAUCAGGUAGGGAUACCCGCUGAACUUAAGCAUGUCAAUAAGCGGAGGA